rnacentral:rRNA from 1 species
GACGAACGCUGGCGGCGUGCUUAACACAUGCAAGUCGAACGGAAAGGCCCUGCUUUUGCGGGGUGCUCGAGUGGCGAACGGGUGAGUAACACGUGAGUAACCUGCCCUUGACUUUGGGAUAACUUCAGGAAACUGGGGCUCAUACCGCAUAGGAGCUCCUGCUGCAUGGUGGGGGUUGGAAAGUUUCGGCGGUUGGGGAUGGACUCGCGGCUUAUCCGCUUGUUGGUGGGGUAGUGGCUUACCAAGGCUUUGACGGGUAGCCGGCCUGGGAGGGUGACCGGCCACAAUGGGCCUGAGGUACGGCCCAGACUCCUACGGGAGGCAGCAGUGGGGAAUAUUGCACAAUGGGCGGAAGCCUGAUGCAGCAACGCCGCGUGCGGGAUGACGGCUUUCGGGGUGUAAACCGCUUUGGCCGGUGACAAAGCGUGAGUGACGGUAAUGAGUAAAGAAGCACCGGCUAACUACGUG